UAUCUCUGUAGAGUCUGCAUAUCAAUAAGCGGAGGAAAAGAAACUAACCAGGAUUCCCUCAGUAACGGCGAGUGAAGCGGGAAGAGCUCAAAUUUGAAAUCUUCAAGGUUCUACCUUGACGAAUUGUAGUUUAAAGAAGUGUUUUCUGUUGGAGUUUUGGUAAAAGUUCUUUGGAAUAGGACAUCAUAGAGGGUGAGAAUCCCGUAUUUGACCAUUAUUUCCAGCUUUGUGAUACACUUUCAAAGAGUCGGAUUGUUUGGGAAUGCAGUCCAAAAUGGGUGGUAAAUUUCAUCUAAAGCUAAAUACUGGCGAGAGACCGAUAGCGAACAAGUACCGUGAGGGAAAGAUGAAAAGAACUUUGAAAAGAGAGUUAAACAGUACGUGUAAUUGUCAAAAGGGAAGCGUUUGACACCAGUGUUGUUUUCUCGAAAAAUCAAUUAAAAAAUGGCAUGAUUUUGUGUUGUAUUGACCUUUAUCAAGCUUUCUUCACUCUUUUUCAUUGUCUUUUUUUAAUGCACUUUUCGUUUAACAAGUCAACAUCAGUUUCUUUUGUUGUAAAAAGGGUCAUUGGAAGGUGGCUUUCUUUUCGGAGAAAGUGUUUAUAGCCUUUGACUUCUGCAAUCGGAGAGACUGAGGUCUGCAGCGUAGAUCCUUCUGGAUUAGAUUCAUUUGUGCUAAGUUACAACCGUUUAUAGACAACUUGUUGACUAUAUUCGAUCCUGUAGCUUACUCGCUUAUGUAAUUUUACCUACGCUUAGGAUGUUGAAGAUGUAGCACAUCAU
rnacentral:rRNA from 1 species